AGAAGGGCGUUUGGUGGAUGCCUUGGCAGCAAGAGGCGAUGAAGGACGUGGCACUCUGCGAUAAGCCCGGGGGAGGCGAGAGCACCCUUUGAUCCCGGGAUUUCCGAAUGGGGCAACCCACCUGACAUCCGCCCGUUGACCGCAACGCGGUCAUCGGCCGGGUGAACCAGGUACUUGUGGCCUGAACACAUAGGGCUACAAGGGCGAACCCGGGGAACUGAAACAUCUAAGUACCCGGAGGAAAGGACAUCAACAGAGACUCCGCGAGUAGUGGCGAGCGAAAGCGGACCAGCCGAGCCGUGGACGUGAGCAGAACCGGCUGGAAAGCCGGGCCAGAGCGGGUGACAGCCCCGUAGCGGAGGGGAAGCGGACGUAUCAAGUAGGGCGGGACACGUGGAAUCCUGUCCGAAGAUGGGGGGACCACCCUCCAAGGCUAAGUACUCCUUGCUGACCGAUAGCGAACCAGUACCGUGAGGGAAAGGUGAAAAGCACCCCGACGAGGGGAGUGAAACAGACCCUGAAACCGGACGCCUACAAACAGUCGGAGGGGCGCACGCCCUGACGGCGUACCUUUUGUAUAAUGGGUCAGCGACUUGGUCUCUCGAGCGAGCUUAAGCCGUUAGGUGGAGGCGCAGCGAAAGCGAGUCUGAACAGGGCGCAUGAGUUCGAGGGAUCAGACCCGAAACCGGGUGAUCUAGCCAUGACCAGGCUGAAGGCAGGGUAACACCUGCUGGAGGGCCGAACCCACACCUGUUGAAAAAGGUCGGGAUGAGUUGUGGCUAGGGGUGAAAGGCCAAUCAAACCCGGAGAUAGCUGGUUCUCCGCGAAAGCUAUUUAGGUAGCGCGUCGCACGAAUACCCCGGGGGGUAGAGCACUGGAUGGGUGAUGGGGCCCCACAGGCUUACUGAGCCUAACCAAACUCCGAAUACCCGGGAGUACUGUGCGGCAGACAGACGGCGGGUGCUAACGUCCGUCGUCGAGAGGGAAACAACCCUGACCGCCAGCUAAGGCCCCGAAUUCGUGGCUAAGUGGGAAAGCAUGUGGGACGGCCAAAACAACCAGGAUGUUGGCUUAGAAGCAGCCAUCAUUUAAAGAAAGCGUAACAGCUCACUGGUCUAGACAAGCUGUCCUGCGGCGAAGAUGUAACGGGGCUCAAGCCACGAGCCGAAGCUUCGGCACGCAAGGUGCGGUAGCGGAGCGUUCGUCAUGGAUCCGUCGACUUGCGGUAGCGGCGCGGAGGCCGGUCGGACCGGUGGCUGUGAAGCGUCGGCCGUGAGGGCUCGGCGUGGAGCAGUCGGAAGCGAGAAUGCUGACAUGAGUAGCGAUAAAGGGGGUGAGAGACCCCCUCGCCGAAAGUCCAAGGGUUCCUGCUUAAAGCUAAUCUGAGCAGGGUGAGCCGGCCCCUAAGGCGAGGCCGAAAGGCGUAGGCGAUGGGAACCAGGUUAAUAUUCCUGGGCCAGGAGGAUGUGACGGAUCGCGGACGUUGUCGCCCCUUAUCGGAUUGGGGCGGCAGCUAGAGCGGUCCAGGAAAUAGCCCUCCAUCAGACCGUACCCGAAACCGACACAGGUGGACUGGUAGAGCAUACCAAGGCGCUUGAGAGAACUGCGUUGAAGGAACUCGGCAAAAUGCCUCCGUAACUUCGGGAGAAGGAGGCCCCGUGCCCGGGCAACCGGGUGCGGGGGGCACAGACCAGGGGGUGGCGACUGUUUACUAAAAACACAGGGCUCUGCGAAGCCGCAAGGCGACGUAUAGGGUCUGACGCCUGCCCGGUGCCGGAAGGUUAAAGGGAGGGGUGCAAGCUCCGAACUGAAGCCCCGGUAAACGGCGGCCGUAACUAUAACGGUCCUAAGGUAGCGAAAUUCCUUGUCGGGUAAGUUCCGACCUGCACGAAUGGCGUAACGACUUCCCCGCUGUCUCCAACGCAGACUCAGCGAAAUUGAACUCCCCGUGAAGAUGCGGGGUUCCCGCGGUCAGACGGAAAGACCCCGUGCACCUUUACUACAGCUUCGCACUGGCAUGAGGCAUGUCAUGUGCAGGAUAGGUGGGAGGCUUCGAAGCCGGGACGCCAGUUCCGGUGGAGCCGCCAGUGAGAUACCACCCUUCGACCUGCUUGGUGUCUAACCGCGGCCCGUAAUCCGGUCCGGGACCCUGCGUGGCGGGUAGUUUGACUGGGGCGGUCGCCUCCCAAAGAGUAACGGAGGCGCGCGAAGGUGGGCUCAGAGCGGUCGGAAAUCGCUCGUCGAGUGCAAUGGCAUAAGCCCGCCUGACUGCGAGACCGACAGGUCGAGCAGAGACGAAAGUCGGCCAUAGUGAUCCGGUGGUCCCACGUGGAAGGGCCAUCGCUCAACGGAUAAAAGGUACGCCGGGGAUAACAGGCUGAUGGUGCCCAAGAGUCCAUAUCGACGGCACCGUUUGGCACCUCGAUGUCGGCUCAUCUCAUCCUGGGGCUGGAGCAGGUCCCAAGGGUAUGGCUGUUCGCCAUUUAAAGAGGUACGUGAGCUGGGUUUAGAACGUCGUGAGACAGUUCGGUCCCUAUCUGCCGUGGGUGUCAGGAGACUUGAGAGGAGCUGUCCCUAGUACGAGAGGACCGGGAUGGACGCACCACUGGUGGACCUGUUGUGGCGCCAGCCGCAGUGCAGGGUAGCUAUGUGCGGAAGGGAUAACCGCUGAAGGCAUCUAAGCGGGAAGCCCCCCUCAAAACAAGGUCUCCCCCGAGGGCCGUGGAAGACCACCACGUCGAUAGGCCGGAGAUGCAAGCGCGGCAACGCGUUCAGUUGACCGGUACUAAUCGCCCGAACGGCUUGAUC
rnacentral:rRNA from 1 species